rnacentral:RNase_P_RNA from 1 species
AGAGCGGACCAGACUGUCGCUUUUCCGCAUGUGAAAAGAGGAAAGUCCGGGCUCCACAGAGCAGAAUGACGGGUAACGCCCGUCCGCCAUACGUUGACGGUUUACCGCAACCAAAGCGAGGAAUAGGGCCACAGAGACGAGUCGCCGUUUUUACGGCGGGUGAAACGCGGCAACCUCCAUUCGGAGCAACGCCAAAUAGGCAGACGAUGACGCUGCUCGCGUAGUCUGCGGGUAGGCGGCUAGAGCGUCGCAGUAAUGCGGUGCCUAGAGGAAUGACAGUCACGCCUUGUCGUAACAAGGCGACAGAACCCGGCUUAUCGGUCCGUCUCUGCUU